GGCUCGACGAGGCCCUGGGCAACCUGGUCUAGUUGGGGGUGUCCCUGCUGACUGCGGGGGGGUCGGACUAGAUGGCCUUUGGAGGUCCCUUCCAGCCUGGACAACUCUAUGAGUCUAAGUGUCUUGGCAGUAUGGAGUUGUUUGGACCUGUUUACUUUCUGAUGAAUACAGUUUCACGUUUUCCAGUUAUCCACUCAGAUAUAUUCCUUUUAUUCCUUUUUAGGCCCUCUCAACAGAAGCACUAGCUAUAGACUAUCCCAGCAGUCUCUGUCGUUGUCCACACAGCCAUAGUGGAUAAGGUGACAGUAUUACCAGGAACAGCAUUUGUAGGUGUCGAUUGUGUAACAUCUGGCAGAGAGCACAGCUGGAAGUUUAUCCUCUUUCUGAGAGCAAGCUCUGAUUUUACAACAGCACUUACUCCCGAUGCAAAAUAAGCCAUAACAGAACAAGUUGACUUUGCCAUUUUACAGGAUCUUUUCUCAGAGUACCACACACAAGUGCUAGUUGCAUGCAAGACACUGUGCUGUUUCUUUCAUUAUUUUUUUUAAUAUGGUAAAUUCACAUUAUUUAUCCUUAUUUUACUAUAUGUUUCAUAACACAGAGAUCUCAGGAGCUGAUCCUAGCAUUUUCACAAUAGGUAAGCUUUCAGUGGCACAGGAGGACACUUUGUACUUGUUUGAUUGUAGCACGUUUGAAGACUUCAGAAUCUUAAACCUUCACUGCAAGAAUUAAGCAAGAUGGAGAAAAUGAGAACAUCACACAAUGAUUCUUAUUUUAGUCACAACAUUUGUUUCUUUACUGGCCCGCUGGCACGGCUCGGCAAGUGGAUAAAUUACAGGUUUCAAAGCCAUUUGGUAUUUAUCCAGGUCAUUAGCAGAGGUGGUGGUGUCAGAUAUAUAUUUAGUGUAAAAUAUGGAAGCAUAGGCCUUCAGUUUGGUGCCCAGCUGGGGCAGGAUAGCAACAAGAAAUGCAGGGACACACAACUCUCUCCCCUUCCCCUGUCACCAGUGGGCAACAGGAAGAAUAGACCGUACGUUGCAGCUAAUUCUGAUGCUUCAUUUGAAGAGGAGGAUUGUUGGUCUCACCAGGAAAGGUCAGAUAAGAAAUAGGUUGUCUUUUGUGUCUUUUACAGCAGUAGGGACUACGGCCUCAGAAACAGCACCAGGAUUUUAGCAAUGCUGCUGCUUUCUUCUUGGAGCCAGCCCUGCUUCCCUAAGGAACCGUGGGGUUUGGCACGAGCCGUCGAGCGUUGAAAUAAUUGAGAUGCAAUAUUGCUUACCCCCCAAAAAAAUUGUCAAAAUAGCAGUCAUUCUGCGAUGGCUUACUGAAACUCAAAGAGCCAACUGUUUGAAAUUUAUCUUCAAAAAUAAAAGGAAGUAUAAGUUGAAAGUUGUAGGGUUUUUCCCCCCCCCUCCCUAAGCUGAGAUGUACUCAAAGGGAAAAUUUCAAAGUUGUGUUCCAUAGUUUGGGUGUACUCAGGUUUCUCAGGAAAAUCAGGCACGGUCAGUGUGGGCAAAAAGUAUUUUUCCCAUUCUUUUUCUCAAAAGCGGCUAAAACACUUUACUGAAACUUUAAAAAAAAAAAAGAAA